rnacentral:misc_RNA from 1 species
UCGAGUUAGGGUCUUCUAGGCCCGAUCUCCAACCCUUUGUAUAACUACCAUGUUGCUUUGGCGAGCCCGUCUUUAACCGGACCGCCGGAGGUGUUAUCACCUCUGGUCCGUGCUCGUCAGUAGCCCACACAAAUUCUUUUUAACCAUGUUAAAUCUGAAACUAGUUAAAUAAACUA